rnacentral:misc_RNA from 1 species
UCCGAGUUGACCCCGGCAGUCUCCUAUGAGUCCCCAACCGAAUUGCUGACAACAUAGGACGAGGGUUGCGCUCGUUGCGCCACUUAAGGCAACACCUCACGGCACGAGCUGACGACAGCCAUGCAGCACCUGUGCGGGCUCCCGAAGGAGCGCCGUGUUUCCACGGCUUCACCCCGCAUGUCAAGCCCUGGUAAGGUUCUUCGCGUUGCGUCGAAUUAAGCCACAUGCUCCGCCGCUUGUGCGGGUCCCCGUCAAUUCCUUUGAGUUUUAGCCUUGCGGCCGUACUCCCCAGGCGGGGUGCUUAAUGCGUUAGCUUCGGCACAGAAAGGGUUGAUACUCCCCACACCUAGCACCCAUCGUUUACGGCUAGGACUAC